rnacentral:tRNA from 1 species
GUGCCUUUAGCUCAGCUGGAUAGAGCAACUGCCUUCUAAGCAGUAGGUCGGGGGUUCGAGUCCCUCAAGGCACG